CCUCUCUGUGAGAGCUAAAAAGCAGGGACCACAGAGCAAACAAGCCAGCACCACCAAAAAAUGACCCCCAUGCAGCACACUAACCUGCAAAUGGCACACACGGCAAAGGGGUUGUGUUUGCCCUGACAGCUCUGCUUUAAUAGUGGCUGCAACAAUGCUUGACACUAAUCAGGCAAAUGGAGAGCCAACAAGCUACCAGAAAACAGCUGAGAAGGCUUUCAAGACAUCAUUCAACCCUGCUAAUUAAAGCUGACAAAUUUUCUUCA